rnacentral:rRNA from 1 species
AGCAGCCGCGGUAAUUCCAGCUCCAAUAGCGUAUAUUAAAGUUGUUGCAGUUAAAAAGCUCGUAGUUGAAUUUCGGAAUUUGUCGGUUGGUCGGGCUUCACUGUCCGCACUGACCUGAUGGAUUCCUACCUUCUGAAUAACCAGCAUGCUAUUAAGUUAGUGCGUUGGGGAAGCAGAGCUAUUACCUUGAAAAAUUAGAGUGCUUAAAGCAGGCUUGUGCUUGAAUAGAUUAGCAUGGAAUAAUAAAAUAGGACGGCAUGGUUCUAUUUUGUUGGUUUCUAGGAUCACCGUAAUGAUUAAUAGGGAUAGUCGGGGGCAUUAGUAUUCAAUUGUCAGGGGUGAAAUUCUUGGAUUUAUUGAAGACUAACUUCUGCGAAAGCAUUUGCCAAGGAUGUUUUCAUUAAUCAAGAACGAAAGUUAGGGGAUCGAAGACGAUCAGAUACCGUCGUAGUCUUAACCAUAAACUAUGCCG